CUGAGCAAACGAAUUACGGCUAAUUUACACACCCGUAAAACAAACACACAACCAAGGCUCCGCUGGGAGAAGCUGCGGCCUUAUCAGUUCACUCGACCCAGGACCCUGAUCCGCGCGGCAUAAGGAAAACAAACGUCCUUCUAAAGGACAAACAAAGGGGAGAGAGGGGGAACGAGAUGAUGACACACCAGAAUCAGAGGACAGAGCUGGAUAAUGACAGGAAAGCCUGUGAAUAUACUGAGACCAACUGUCAUGUAAAGACCUUGACCAUCGCAGCCACUGUUUGGAGGCGAUCUGGAGGCGAUUACACAAGAUUUGGAGGCACAUGACAAUGAUCAAGGAUUCAGGGAUGCUGUGCAGUCUGCAUCAUUGGGGAAGCAGUGCAAACAUUCUGCAUGCUCAGACACACAGGUGAAUAUGAAAACAUAGCCCAGCUGAGGCUGUGGUAGCACUAGUAUGUACAGUACUGUAUGUGUGGUGUGAAGGGGAUUGU
rnacentral:lncRNA from 1 species